ACAGCUAACUACACUCAAAUGAACAUAGUCAAAAGUCAGUUGGUGAUUUUUUAUUUAUAUAACUUUGAAGCAACCAGGCAAAUAGGUAUGCCAAAUAAAAUAAAAGAGAAUUCAUGACAAAAUGUGCAUUAUAUUUCUGUUUAUGCAUUUGCAUUUCAAAGGGAUACAUUUUCAGAUCGUUCUGAACAUGCACGGAAUAUAUGCCACCGGGUGUUAAGCCAUAGACCAACAACAUUAAAUUCUAAUAUGACGUGCUUCUUUUGCUUUGUGAACAAACCCAUGCCCUAAAUCA
rnacentral:lncRNA from 1 species